CUCAGCGCGGGGCGAGGGCUGCAGCGGUUUCGGGAACGUCUUCACGGAGAUCCCCGAGAACAGCGCCCACGGCAGCCUGGUGGCCCGGCUGCCACCGGGGGGGGACGCGGGGGGGCCCGCGCUGCAGCUCUGCCUGGCCGGCGCCGACGCCGCCUGGUUCUACCUGGACGGCCGCAGCCUCCGCCUCAACGCCUCCGCCGGCAGGGCGCUGGACCGCGAGGUGCGGACCCCCUUGGAGACCCCCCCCGGCUGGUCCGGUGUCUGUCCGGUGUCCCCGUGUCCGUCCCGUGUCCCCUUGUCCCCAUGUCCAUCCCAUCCUCCAUCCGUCCUCCGUCCGUCCUCCAUCCAUUCCAUCGUCCUCAAAUCUGUCCUCCAGUCGUCUUCCACCCGUCCUCCAUCCAGCCUCCACCUGUCCUCCAGCCAGCCAGCCUCUAUCUGUCCUCCAUCCGUCCUCCACGCAGCCUCCAUCCAGCCUCCAUCCGUCCUGUGUCCAUCUGUCCAGCCUCCACCCUGCCUCCAUCCCGUUUCCAUCCUCCAUCCGUCCUCCAUCCAUUCCAUCGUCCUCCAAUCCAGCCUCCAUUUGUCCUGCUCUGUCCUCCAUUCAUCUUCCACCCAGCCUCCAUCCAGCCUCCAUCCUGUCUCCAGCCUCCAUCCAUCCUCCGUCCAUCCUCCAUCCAUAUCCAUCACCCAUCUAGCCUCUAUCUGUCCUCCAUCCGUCCUCCACCCAGCCUCCAUCCGUCUUCCAUCCUGUCUCCAUCCUCCCUCUGUCCUGUGUCCGUCCUCCAUCCAUUCCCUCGUCCUCCAAUCCGUCCUCCAGUCGUCUCCCACCCAGCCUCCAUCCUGUUUCCAGCCUCCAUCCAUCCUCCAUCCACCCUUUAUCCAGCCUUCAUCCAGCCUCUGUCCAUCCUCCACCCAGCCUCCAUCCAUCAUCCAUCCUUCGUUCAUCCUUCCUCCAUCCACCCUGUGCCCAUCCUGUGUCUCUCCCCCAUCCAGCCUCCACCCAGCCUCCAUCCAUCCUCCGCGCAGCCUCCAUCCAUCCUCCAUCCAUUCCAUCGUCCUCCAAUCCAGCCUCCAUUUGUCCUGCUCUGUCCUCCAUUCAUCUUCCACCCAGCCUCCAUCCAGCCUCCAUCCUGUCUCCAGCCUCCAUCUGUCUUCCAUCCAUCGCCCACCCAGCCUCUAUCUGUCCUCUAUCCGUCCUCCACCCAGCCUCCAUCCGUCUUCCAUCCUGUCUCCAUCCUCCCUCUGUCCUGUGUCCGUCCUCCAUCCAUUCCCUCGUCCUCCGAUCCGGCCUCCAUUCGUCUCCCACCCAGCCUCCAUCCGUCCUGUGUCCAUCCAUCCAGCCUCCAUCCAGCCUCCACCUGUCCUCCAUCCAGCCAGCCACUAUUUGUCCUCCAUCCAUCCUUCACACAGCCUCCACCCAGCCUCCAUCCUGUCUCCAGCCUCCAUCCGUCCUCCAUCUAUUGCCCAUCCAGCCUCUAUCUCUCCUCCAU
rnacentral:lncRNA from 1 species